rnacentral:rRNA from 1 species
UACGAAUGGGGCAAGCGUUGUUCGGAAUCACUGGGCUUAAAGCGUGCGCAGGCGGCUAUGAAAGUCAGGAGUGAAAUCCCCGGGCUCAACCCGGGAAUUGCUUUUGAAACUCCAUAGCUAGAAUACCGGAGAGGUUAGGAGAAUUCCGAGUGUAGAGGUGAAAUUCGCAGAUAUUCGGAGGAAUACCAGUGGCGUAGGCGCCUAACUGGACGGUUAUUGACGCUCAGGCACGAAAGCGUGGGGAGCAAACAGG